CUUUGAAAACAGGGUCCUUUGCAUUGGCUGGGGCUCUCGUGAAUGUUACAUCCCACCCUGAGUAGAGCACACAGCCAGCAACCCAAAGAAGAGGCACUUUGAUUGUUCCCAUUUUACAGAUGAGGAAACUGAGGCACAGAGAAGGGAAGUAACUUGCCCUAGAGCAUUUUCUUCAAAUGUGCCAUUUACCUUCCCAACACAGGACCUUUGCACAUGACAAACUUUCUCCCUGAGGCUCCUCACCUUCUGAAGUUUAAUUUGACCACCAUUUACUGUGUCUUACUGUGUGCCUUGUGCCGAGAAUGCAAAAAUAAAUAAGACAAUAAAUAAGACUCCUUAUGUGAUAGACAACUUUGGCCCAAGGAGAAUGGUGGUAAUAGUGGUAAUAAUAGUAAUGACAACAGCAGCACAAUGGCAGGACCGUUUAAGCAGCACUUAUUAUGUGCUGGGCAUUUAUGAACACAAGGUCAUUAAAAACUCAGUAGAACAACAGUUCUACAAGGUUGUCGCUAUUAUUACUCCCAUUUUAUAAGAGGGGAAGCUGAGGCUCAGAGAAGUGAAGUCAUUUGCUGAGCUGGUAUGUGGCAGAGUUGGAACUUGAGCCCUGGUCUCUGGGUCUCCAAAGCCAUAUUUACAGCCACAGCGUUAUCCCACUAUGCCCAGAAAAGUCCCCCUCUGCCCCAUGUGAAGGAAAGCCACUAUCUGAUUCCAACUCUAAUUUGCUGGGUCCUCAAUUUGAUCUGCAUAGAAGGAGUGAAAAACAAAGAUAACAUUGGUCUAUCCCAUAGGAUGCAGGAUGCGGGUUGCAGCCGGAAGUGCCAGCCCAAGACUGUGGGCAAAGGAGGGCUGGGCCAGGAUGCUGCA